rnacentral:rRNA from 1 species
GUGCAGCAGUCGAGAAACUUUACAAUGUGCGAAAGCACGAUAAGGGAACUCUGAGUGCCUCCUAAGGAGGCUGUUCAGGUGUCUAAAAGCACCUGAAGGAAGGGCUGGGUAAGACCGGUGCCAGCCGCCGCGGUAACACCGGCAGCCCAAGUGGUAGCCACGUUUAUUGGGUCUAAAGCGUCCGUAGCCGGCUGGGUAAGUUCCUUGGGAAAUUUGGCUGCUUAACAGUCAAGCUUUCAGGGAAUACUGCUCGGCUUGGGACCGGGAGAGGUCAGAGGUACUCCAGGGGUAGGGGUGAAAUCCAUUAAAUCCUUGGGGGACCACCGGUAGCGAAGGCGUCUGACCAGACCGGGUCCGACGGUGAGGGACGAAGGCUAGGGGCGCGAACCGGAUUAGAUACCCCUGUAGU